rnacentral:rRNA from 1 species
UACGGAGGGGGCUAGCGUUGUUCGGAAUUACUGGGCGUAAAGCGCACGUAGGCGGCUUUGUAAGUUAGAGGUGAAAGCCCGGGGCUCAACUCCGGAAUUGCCUUUAAGACUGCAUCGCUAGAAUCGUGGAGAGGUGAGUGGAAUUCCGAGUGUAGAGGUGAAAUUCGUAGAUAUUCGGAGGAACACCAGUGGCGAAGGCGGCUCACUGGCCCGGUACUGACGCUGAGGUGCGAAAGCGUGGGGAGCAAACAGG